rnacentral:tRNA from 1 species
GCCCGAGUGGCGGAAUGGCAGACGCGGCGGUCUCAAAAACCGCUGAGGCAACUCGUGUGGGUUCGAGUCCCACCUCGGGCA